GCCUGGGGCUCAGAGGUAGAGCGCUCGCCUAGCAUGCGUGAGACACUGGGUUCGAUCCUCAGCAACA
rnacentral:tRNA from 1 species